GGAAUAUCAUGCAGCAAUUGAUUUUAUUCCACAGCUGACUGGUUAUCUGGCGAGUAACUUUAUAUGGAUGGCAUCCUGCGACUCAUUUCACAAUGUCCCUUUUGAAUUGUUGCUUACCUGUGUAAAGCAACCUUGUUUGACAGUAGAUAGUGAGAAGCAUCUUUGUGAUGCUAUUCUACUAUGGCUUGCCGCUAACACCAACCCAUCUGAUCGUUUGAGCUCCACUGGUGAUGCUCGCCUUGAAAUUCUAACAGAGAUCCGUACUAGCCUUUUAUCAUUGCC
rnacentral:misc_RNA from 1 species